rnacentral:RNase_P_RNA from 1 species
GAGGAAAGUCCGGGCUCCAUAGGGUAGAGCGCCAGGUAACGCCUGGGAGGCGUGAGCCUACGGAAAGUGCAACAGAGAGCAGACCGCCUACGUAACCUUCGGGUUGCCGGUAAGGGUGAAAGGGUGCGGUAAGAGCGCACCGCGCACCUGGUAACAGUGUGUGGCAUGGUAAACCCCGCUCGGAGCAAGACCAAAUAGGCCCUCGAUGGUGUGACCCGCACUGAGGGCGGGUAGGUUGCUAGAGGUGUCCGGUGACGGGCAUCCCAGACGAAUGAUUGUCCACGACAGAAUCCGACAGAACCCGGCUUA